rnacentral:rRNA from 1 species
GACGAACGCUGGCGGCGUGCUUAACACAUGCAAGUCGAACGGAAAGGCCUGCUUUCCCUUGUGGAUUGCGGGUACUCGAGUGGCGAACGGGUGAGUAACACGUGAGUGAUCUGCCCCCAACUUGGGUAUAAGCCUGGGAAACUGGGUCUAAUUCCCGAUAGGACUGCAGGGUGGUGCCUGUGGUGGAAAACGAUUUUCUAGUGGUUGGGGAUGGGCUCGUGGCCUAUCAGAUUGUUGGUGGGGUAAUGGUCUACCAAGGCGGCGACGGGUAGCCGGCCUGAGAGGGUGGACGGCAGCAUUGGGACUGAGACACGGCCCAGACUCCUACGGGAGGCAGCAGUGGGGAAGAGUGGGCAAUGGGCGGAAGCCUGAUGCAGCGACGCCGCGUGGAGGAUGACGGCCUUCGGGUUGUAAACUCCUUUCGACCGCGAGGAAGCCACCUGGAUGGAAGGGUGGUGACGGUAGUGGUAGAAGAAGCACCGGCUAACUACGUG